rnacentral:rRNA from 1 species
AUGCCUCCGAUUGCAUGUGAGAAGCAGGUUUUAGACAGAUCAUAUGAUCGGGUGUGCGGAUCUGUUGUUACCAUUGAACGGCGCAUAGGCGAGGAAUAUGUUGCAUUUGGUACAGGUUUUGUGAUGGUUUCUGAUCAGAAGCAAGUCCUGACAAGUGUUCAUGAGUCUAUAGUCAAGGAUGGGGAGAGAUUAUUUGUUCGCUUCUAUGAUGAUAUCCAGAUGGAGGCCACCAUAUUUCUGAGAAACACACCAUCCAAGCAUGUUGUUCUGAAAGUGAGCUCUCGUCCUCCUCGUAGUCGCCAUCAUGUCAUCUUUAAUGAAAAUCAAGUUAGAAGACAGGAUGUUUUCACAAUUUCGGCGGUGGAAAGAUUUGAUGAACGUGGUUUGAUGACUGGCUCGAUAAGCAUUCCAAACUGCAAAGCAGUCCGACCAGAUGGGACUAUUGUGUUCGGGAGCCAGAAUUUAUUUGCUAUGAGUUGCCCCGUGGCAGGACCAACAGUUAAAGGAGAACCGAAUGGAGAGGAUUUGCAAUUAGUCGGUGCCGCGGUAUUCGACAUGGACGGUCUAGUAAUUGGCACAGUUGACCGUGUUGACAUGUCUGCGUUUGAUAUAAAAUAUGCAAUUAAAACAAGUUCAUUUCUGAAUGAUCUGGAGAGAUUGUUGAAGGAUAUUGAUGAUACGAUUGUUCUUUCGAAGGAUCAACAAGGCUUCAGCAAAGGCGCUGGAACGAGCAAGCAGGGAGGUAGUGUGGCGGGAUCAAGUAGAAAGAGGGGCCGUGAUGAUCCACCUGGAGGUGGAGGUGGCAGGAGGACAGGAGGUGUCACGUUGAGGGAAGAAGGUUUAUGCAUGGACCAACUCAAAGUGAACUUGGAGGUGGCCAACGAAGAAAAAUUGAGGCUACUCAAGUAUCCAGUCCAAGGUGACAGGGAUGUUGGAAGAAAAGAAGCAAUGCGAUCGGAACUCAUUAGGCUCGUCACUCGAGAAUUGGAUGACCAACAGUCGGGCUCCCUAUCUUCACCAGGUGAUAUGGCAGCGCCUCUUGCAUCUGCUAAAGCGGGGGGCUCUACUGUGGCCCCUGACUUCGAGGCAGCUGCUGGAACAAUGGACACAUGCUUUGGAAAAGAAAAUCUGGGAGAUUCCUCGGUUAAGCUGCGCUGA